rnacentral:rRNA from 1 species
UGAAGAAGGCCUUAGGGUUGUAAAGCUCUUUUAGUGAGGAAGAUGAUGACGGUACUCACAGAAGAAGUCCUGGCUAACUCCGUGC